rnacentral:rRNA from 1 species
CCUACGGGGGGCAGCAGUGAGGAAUAUUGGUCAAUGGCCGGAAGGCUGAACCAGCCAUGCCGCGUGAAGGUCAGUGCCCUAUGGGCGUUAAACUUCUUUUGUGCGGGAGCAAUAAUGGUCACGUGUGGCCAGACGAGAGUACCGUACGAAUAAGCAUCGGCUAACUCCGUGCCAGCAGCCGGGGUAAUACGGGGGAUGCAAGCGUUGUCCGGAUUUAUUGGGUUUAAAGGGUGCGUAGGCUGGGAGGUAAGUCAGCGGUGAAAUGCCCCCGCUCAACGGGGUGAAGUGCCAUUGAUACUGCCUGGCUGGAGUGCGGAUGCCGUGGGAGGAAUGUGUGGUGUAGCGGUGAAAUGCAUAGAUAUCACGCAGAACACCGAUUGCGAAGGCAUCUCACGAAUCCGCGAUUGACGCUGAUGCACGAAAGCGUGGGUAUCAAACAGGAUUAGAUACCCGGGUAGUC